UACGGAGGGGGCUAGCGUUGUUCGGAAUUACUGGGCGUAAAGCGCACGUAGGCGGCUUCGUAAGUCAGAGGUGAAAGCCCGGGGCUCAACCCCGGAACUGCCUUUGAUACUGCGUCGCUCGAGUCCGGGAGAGGCGAGUGGAAUUCCGAGUGUAGAGGUGAAAUUCGUAGAUAUUCGGAGGAACACCAGUGGCGAAGGCGGCCCGCUGGCUCGGUAUUGACGCUGAGGUGCGAAAGCGUGGGGAGCAAACAGG
rnacentral:rRNA from 1 species